AUUGAACGCUGGCGGCAGGCCUAACACAUGCAAGUCGAGCGAGCGGCGGACGGGUGAGUAAUGUAUGGGGAACUGCCUGAUGGAGGGGGAUAACUACUGGAAACGGUAGCUAAUACCGCAUACCAUCAGAUGUGCCCAGAUGGGAUUAGCUAGUAGGUGGGGUAAUGGCUCACCUAGGCGACGAUCCCUAGCUGGUCUGAGAGGAUGAUCAGCCACACUGGGACUGAGACACGGCCCAGACUCCUACGGGAGGCAGCAGUGGGGAAUAUUGCACAAGGGGCGCAAGCCUGAUGCAGCCAUGCCGCGUGUGUGAAGAAGGCCUUCGGGUUGUAAAGCACUUUCAGUGGGGAGGCGUUACCCACAGAAGAAGCACCGGCUAACUCCGUGCCAGCAGCCGCGGUAAUUC
rnacentral:rRNA from 1 species